rnacentral:siRNA from 1 species
UUACACGAUGCCUAAACAAGAGA